AUUUGUGACUAAAUGAUAUGCUAUUUCUAGGACAAUAGCGAUAUCAAGUGUAGGUCAUUGUGUGCCAUAUGAGUUGGUUGUCCUCUUAACCAAAGAGUGUGGAGACACUGUUAUGACAUACAGAUAGAAUGUAGGAGUACAUUCGCAUCGAACGUGACCAUGUGUCGAGUACUCUACUGUCAAGAGUAGCUUGUGAAGGAUAUGGGUAUAAGUGUCCCUCUGAUCGGAGACCACCACGAUGACUUGUAAGCAACUCACUAUACUUUAGUAUUAGACUAUUUAAGUUUCUAACUUAAUGACAAAAGGAUACUAGGUGUAGUCAAGUACCUAUCACGUCAGUGUAUGAGUCAAAAUAGAAUUGACCCCUCUGAAUUGGCAGAAGAUAUGCAUCAGUGUAUUUCAAUU
rnacentral:lncRNA from 1 species